rnacentral:lncRNA from 1 species
AAAUUGAUCAUAAAUACAUAUAUGUGUGUGUGUGGACAGAGAGGGUAAUACAGCAUAGGAAUUUGUGGUGCUGUGUAACAUUAUGAUUGUCUGUUGUCCUUUAUACCAUGUGAUCUUCCUCCAGCUGCUCCACAGCCAUUGCUUUCUCAGCCUCAUUGUGUACCGACUAUGGUUUGCAUUUUAUAGCCCACUGUGGCUGUGCCAGUGUUGACUGCUGUAUUUGAUUCUCCCUGUCUGGUCGCAGUCACUUUUGUCUCUGGCUGUUUGUCUGCUUUUGUGUGGGCAAAGGAGAAAACAGGAGACAGCGACAGAAGAAAAUGUAGUUUGUGGGAUUUACAAACAGAAUAUGCACUAUAAACAAGAGGUGAUAAACCAGACCUAUCUUCCCCCCACAGAUGGCUUUAAAAUCUGCCACGGCACAGCCUGCGCAUAAGCCCAUUCCCUGUCUGACUCUGCAGCAAACUGAGCUGCCCAAAGGGCUCAAUGCAUCCCAACGAGGAGUUAAAAGGGGGUCAGACCAAGCUUGGGAAAAUGCUAUUCCCCUCUGAGACUGUCUACCUCCUACUGACCACAGCAGCAUGAGGCAUGUAAACACAAUCUGCAUUUCACAUAGUCCCUUCUAGGAAACAGACAGAUAUCCAAGCAAGAUCACAUUGCUGCAUGAGUUACAACGCCUUCAGCUAUUUACUCAAGCUCCCAAAAUCAACAAACAUCCUGCUUCUAAAUAAGAGUCUGGGGGGAGAUUAGAGAGACGGGGGCUUCACAGGGUUUCUCUCCAUAGUGAAUGAACAUGUGACAGUCAUCAGUGCGUGGUAGAGAUUGGGGUGCAAACACUGUUAAUCCCAAAAUAAGGGGAAUAAAUGUUCCUUUGUGGUAUGCGAACUACUGCAUGGGGUACACAAUAACAAUCUUAUGCUGUUUAUACGUCUUUAUUUUUCAAAGAACACAAACAAAAGUCCACAAACUAACACUACAAUGAAAUUGACAGGCAACAUGAGGCUGUUAUAAAUUCAAAAAGAGAUGAAAAACAGCUUACUGGCACAACCUGAAAUCCUGAUGCCAGACAGUAAAUUUCCUUAACUUAGUAGGUAUGUUACAAAUGAAAGGAAAAUCACAAUAAACAAUAGCUCUCCAUGAUACUAACUUGUAUUUUAACUUCAAAUUGAUGCAUUCAAUUUCAUGCUUCAGUGACAGAAAGGAUUUUAAACUUCUUCAAGGCUAUGAUUAUUUUCUGAUUACCUUAAUGGCCUGUAAUUUCUUUGUUAUGUUUAGGGUAAUGCAGCUGGAUUUGGAUGGGGUUGCACAGUGAAUGGAUGUGCAGGAAAUGAAAAUGUCUUUUGGCAGGAAAACCUAUCCUUCAAAACCAACUCUGACUGUAAAAUGAUUAAAAAAUAAUAGUUGUGACAUUAUUUUUUGAAGUAUCUCUUAUGUGCCUUCUUAUUGUAUAUGAACUUUUUGUCGUGAGGUUGGGACUUCCCAGCAGACCUCUUUCACACUGUGGGGUGUGACCUCUGCUUCGUAAGGUUGAUCUCUGAUGACUUUCUGACCUCGCAGGAUUCCUCUCCCAGCAUGUUCAGUCGUGUCCUGGUGCCACCACAGAUUGUGAUUCACAACCCUGCUGGAUUUUCAUGCUCUGUUGAAGGAGCUUGAAAAUACAUUUCUAUAUGCCAUAGCAUGUGGCCACAGCUCCCAGCUUCUAAGACGGGCUUUAUAGGUCAAACAGUAGCAACUGAACAUCGUCUUAAGUCUACCUCACAUUUUAGAGGCAGAGAUUAUCUCAUCUGUACCAUCUUUCAAGAUGCUGUAGGAAACUUUUGAGUUGUUGUGAAUUCUCUACACUCUCUACCCUCUUAAGGAUGGAGAUGUUUUUAUUUACCUCUUCUUUUUCUUUUUCUUUAUGUAUUACUUUUUCUGCCCUUCAUUGCACCCGACUAACUCCAUUUUCACUCACUGCUUCAACCUUGCACUUUCCCCUGCACUAGAUUUGAACAAUAACCAUUUCAUUUAAAGCCAGCAUCUCUACCCACACCACAGGUCUGCCUGGCAGGGCAACAUUUGGUUUUGGUUUCGGUUGCACAAAGCACAGCUCACAGACUUUGUUGUGAGGAAAGCAUUACAUGUCCAACUCGUAGAAAUUCCCAAGCCAGGAUUCAAACCUGAAGCCUUUUCAUUCAGAAGCAGCUCUAACCACAAAACCACAGACUUGCCCAAUUGGGCUUGCCGAAUAAGGUCUGUAUCUUUCAAUAUAUUGUUCUGGUUGUUCAAAAGCAAAGCUCAGACUGAAGUUUGAGGAAAGCAUAACAUUACAUCUCUGCAUUGGGUUAGAAUCCAGAACCUUUCACGCAAAGGCAGCAACCGACCACAGGCCUGCUCGACAUUGCUCGUGUUGUUAGGUAUUAUCUGUUUCAUCAUGGUUUUUCAAAAGCGCAGCCGAGACUACAGUUUAAGGUAAACAUUCAUUUCAGGAUUUCUCUCUGUUUAUGAGCCAUCAGUGCGACCAAUGAACUGCAAAACAACCUCAUAGUAACAAUUUUAUUUAAGGUCUUUUAGGUUUUUUGUUGUUGUUCAAAAUGAUGGUCUACAUCACACAAAUAGAAAAAGAGUAACUUACUGCACCACAAAGAAUGGCCCAGACCAGCAUUUGAAAUCCGCUUUUUCUAGUUGUUAGGGUUAAUUUAUGGGGCUCAAUAUUAAUUUAAUUAAUAGUACAUUCUUGAAGCUAGAGAUUAUAGUCUGAUGGACUAUUAUCUGAGAUUUACCAAGGCUACAUUUGCACUGUUUUCAAUAGGGCUGUAAAGAGUUACAGUAUUUAUGGUCACACCUUAGCUUGUGUCCUCACCAAAACACUUAGGUG